GUAAGGAAUAUUGGACAAUGGAGGCAACUCUGAUCCAGCCAUGCCGCGUGCAGGAAGAAGGCGCUACGCGUUGUAAACUGCUUUUAUAACAGAGAAAACCUAUGUACGUGUACGUAGUUGAUAGUAUGUUAAGAAUAAGCAUCGGCUAACUUCGUGCCAGCAGCCGCGGUAAUACGAAGGAUGCAAGCGUUAUCCGGAUUUAUUGGGUUUAAAGGGUGCGUAGGCGGUCUUAUAAGUCAGUGGUGAAAUCUUGUCGCUUAACGACAAACGUGCCAUUGAUACUGUAGGACUUGAGUACAGAUGCCGUUGGCGGAAUGUGUCAUGUAGCGGUGAAAUGCAUAGAUAUGACACAGAACACCGAUUGCGAAGGCAGCUGACGAAACUGUAACUGACGCUGAUGCACGAAAGCGUGGGGAUCAAACAGGAUUAGAAACCCGGGUAGUCC
rnacentral:rRNA from 1 species